rnacentral:rRNA from 1 species
CUUCCGUUAAGGGAACCUGCGGAAGGAUCAUUAGUGAAUAUAGGACGUCCAACUUAACUUGGAGUCCGAACUCUCACUUUCUAACCCUGUGCACUUGUUUGGGAUAGUAACUCUCGCAAGAGAGCGAACUCCUAUUCACUUAUAAACACAAAGUCUAUGAAUGUAUUAAAUUUUAUAACAAAAUAAAACUUUCAACAACGGAUCUCUUGGCUCUCGCAUCGAUGAAGAACGCAGCGAAAUGCGAUAAGUAAUGUGAAUUGCAGAAUUCAGUGAAUCAUCGAAUCUUUGAACGCACCUUGCGCUCCAUGGUAUUCCGUGGAGCAUGCCUGUUUGAGUGUCAUGAAUACUUCAACCCUCCUCUUUCUUAAUGAUUGAAGAGGUGUUUGGUUUCUGAGCGCUGCUGGCCUUUACGGUCUAGCUCGUUCGUAAUGCAUUAGCAUCCGCAAUCGAACUUCGGAUUGACUUGGCGUAAUAGACUAUUCGCUGAGGAAUUCUAGUCUUCGGACUAGAGCCGGGUUGGGUUAAAGGAAGCUUCUAAUCAGAAUGUCUACAUUUUAAGAUUAGAUCUCAAAUCAGGUAGGACUACCCGCUGAACUUAAGCAUAUCAAUAAGCCGGAGGAAA